rnacentral:rRNA from 1 species
AACGAACGCUGGCGGCGUGGAUAAGACAUGCAAGUCGAACGAAACUAUCAGAGUAGCAAUACAAUGAUAGUUCAGUGGCGAACGGGUGCGUAACACGUGGAUACAUUCCGGGAAGCGGGGGAUAGCCCAGGGAAACUUGGAUUAAUACCGCAUGUGGUCGAAAGACUAAAGACGGGGACCGCAAGGCCUGUCACUUCCCGAUUGGUCCGCGGCCUAUCAGCUAGUUGGCGGGGUAAAAGCCCACCAAGGCUACGACGGGUAGCUGGUCUUAGAGGACGACCAGCCACACUGGAACUGAGACACGGUCCAGACACCUACGGGUGGCAGCAGUCGAGAAUCUUUCACAAUGGGGGCAACCCUGAUGGAGCGACGCCGCGUGGAGGAUAAGGGUCUUCGGAUUGUAAACUCCUGUCAUGCGCGAACAAGGUUGUAGAGUUAAUAACUUUGCAAAUUGAUGGUACCGCAAGAGGAAGAGACGGCUAAACUCUGUGCCAGCAGCCGCGGU